GUACAAAGUUCAGGUAAAGAAUUUGUAAGACUUGUACUAGAUUUGAGACAUGGAAACAACAUAUGUUUAAAUCUUCUCGCAGUGAGAUGAUUUUGUCACGGAGAGUGAUACGAGUUACAGAUGAGUUUGAAAUGGUAUGUAUGAAAUUUAUUUUAUUAGAUCGCUGGGAGCGAUGUGAUUGGUUGCACAGUGUAGUGCACCAUGGAAUGUUGUCGCUGGGAGCGAUGUGAUUGGUUGCACAGUGUAGUGCACCAUGGAAUGUUGUCGCUGGGAGCGAUGUGAUUGGUUGCACAGUGUAGUGCACCAUGGAAUGUUGUCGCUGGGAGCGAUGUGAUUGGUUGCACAGUGUAGUGCACCAUGGAAUGUUGUCGCUGGGAGCGAUGUGAUUGGUUGCACAAUGCACCAUGGGAUGUUGUAUAGUUUAAUUAAUAUACAGAAAACAAAAGAUUAAAUAUGAAGGCA
rnacentral:lncRNA from 1 species